CUUGUCGUCCCCAAUCAGGUCUCCGAAAUUCGACGCAUGAAGCUUGUCGAUCACCAACUGCCCAGGAUUCGCCAAAACGAGCUGUACAAAAGCACGGAAAGUACUUUCUGUGAGACUCCUGUGUAACUCUUCCAAGGCAUGGAUGCCGCUAGUGUCAAUGUCAGUCACAGCUGCAGAGAGCACGAGAUUGUGAGUCAGUUUAAAUGAUGUAGAAAAUGCAUGACAUGUUUUGCUAAAAUGGACUUCGAGAACUUGGAUAAGAAUUUCUUACGUGACAUCUCAACAAUCAAAAACUGUAUUCGUGGUUGAUAUGCAGCUUUGAGUUGUUCUUCCUCAUCAGUCAACCAUCUCAAUAUCCUGUAAGGAAGCAGAUAUUGAGCAACCCGACAGUUAGCUAGCAACAGGAUGUAUGAUGAACAGUUUACACAGGUAUCCUUAUGCUGUGUUUGGAAGCAUGAAUUUCGACCUUGGAUUUGGAUUUGGCUUUGGAUAGAUUUAGACAAAUUUUAAUGUAAUUUUAUAUUGCAUUUUAUUCAAAUCUAAGGUCUCUCUAAACAUAGCGUUAAUAUCGAAAAAUCCUAGACUCAUCUUGAAUGAUCUAUACUUGGAUAAAGAAUUCAGACACACUAGUGCACAUAGUUGCUUGUAGCAAAAAAAUCAAUGGCAAAAUAUGGUGCGAGACAAGAAUAUUUGACCUUGUGAUCUUAUUCUUUUGACAUAUUGGAUGAGGGUACAUCAAAAUAAAAAAAUAAAGCAUAUAUUACAUGUCA